rnacentral:tRNA from 1 species
UGCGUCCGUAGCUCAGUUGGUUAGAGCACCACCUUGACAUGGUGGGGGUCGGUGGUUCGAGUCCACUCGGACGCACC